CCUUGACAAGAGCCAGGCCAAUCCUCUCCCGGAAACCUAGCGCUCUCGGGACAAUCCUCCGCGUCCCCUCCUCGCUGCGCCGCCUCCUCCUCCCCUCCACUUCUCUCCUCCUCCUCUCGAAGGCCCAGCGCGUUGUAGCCGUCGCCGCUCGUCUCUUUCUUCCCACGACGCCUCCCCAUCCUCCAUCUGCAGUCGCCGCGGCUGUGGGCGCGCAGCGGCGAAGCGGGAGGCAGCGGCAGGCGUAGGCGGGCGGUGAAGGGAGGUGGACGCGGUCGGGCCGUGGCGGCGGCGGGCGUGGCGGCUGCGGAAGGGCGCAGCAGAAGCGAGCAGCGCUGGGCGUGCAGCGGCAGGCGUAGGCGGGCGGUGAAGGGAAGCGGACGCGGUCGGACCGCGGCGGCGGCGGGCGUGGCGGCUGCGGAAGGGCGCAGCGAAAGCGAGCAGCACCGGGCGUGCGCGGGGCAGCGCUAAAGGGCGCGGGACAGGGCGCGGCCGGCGCGUGCGGUGCGCAAACGAGCCGCGCACGGGGUUGUCAGGCGGGGCGAGCAGCAGCGCGCGUGGGUGGCGCCCAGAAGCAGCAGCGGGCUCGCGCGGGUGGCGCGGGGCACGGCCUGCAGAGCCGACGGGCGGUAGCGGGCGGGGGCACACGCCCAAACCACCAAACCCCAACUCCGGCGGCCUCCUCUCCCUCCAUCGCCGCUGCUCCGCUCGAUCUGGGGCCUCCCCUCGCGUCUUCCAGCCACCAAUCCCUCCGCUCUCGAGCCCCGUGUCACCCCCUCCGCCUCCUCCCCUUCGUGUUUCUACUCCUCCCUCUAAGGCUCCAUGGCGGCGGACCGGCUCAAGGCGGGGGAGCGGCGGAUGCGUCGGCGGCGGCGCGAGAGGAGCGGUGGCGGAGGCGUCGAGCUGCGAUGAGGUGCCGCUCGGGCACGAGACGACGGAGAUGGUGGCGGCUGUUCCGGGGCCCGAUCUGGGGAGGGUACGAGGCAGGGAAGGACGCCGUCGUAGCCUUCGUUGGUCUUCCUUCCGCCCCUUUUGCUCCCUCUGAUUUGCCCUCUUCCUAUCCCUCUUGCUCGCCAGCGGCGACUCCUCCCCUGCCUCCGCACGCCGUCCUCGAGUUGGAGGAAACGAGGACAACAUGCGGUCGAGCUCAGGCCGGUGACAUGUGCGCUGUCCGUCUCUUAUGUUUCCCUUGUGUCUCUUGGCUGAGUUUUACGGCCAGUAUUGCCUUAGUGAGAUGUGUUGUUGAGUCCAAACUGAAAUUUCGUCCCAGAUGCUACUACUACUGAUUACUCGCAGUAAUCAGAAAUUUGUACUUAUGAUACACAAAUCAGUUACUUUACUACUUUGCCUAUUUCACUAACCAGUCUUCAUAUAAAUAUAUAAUAGAGGAUAAGGCCAUGGAAGCCCGAAUGGGUUCUGCUGGUGGUCACACUGGUAGGAACGGCAUUGCCUGUUAGUUGUUAUGAGAAGUAUGUUGGGAGAUUGCCACCUUCCUGAAAAUCACUGGACAAAGAAGCCAUGUGAUGGAAAACCAGAGUGCCAAAAGAAGGUGGAUUUGGCAGUUGCUGCUCCAUGAGACGAGUUUAUUUGCCUGCUCAAAAUUCAGACCUGGAAAGGAUGAAACCAAAUGGAACGCAAAAGCUACAUGGCAGAGCACAUUUUGGGCACUGGUUCGUUUGGCGCCGUCUUUCAGGCUAAAUGCUUGGAAACUGGGGAGACGGUGGCCACUAAGAAGGUACUGUCGGGAGCUGCAGCUUAUGCGUUCGAUUAACCAUUCCAAUGUUGUCUCCCUCAAGCACUGCUUCUUCUCAACCACAAGUGGAGUGAGCUGUUUCUGAACCUUGUCAUGGAGUAUGUCCCGGAGACGCUCUACCGCAGGCUUAAGAACUACAGUAAUGCCAAACAGGGGAUGUCACUUAUCUACAUCAAGCUCUACACCUAUCAGGGGGCUCGUGUACAUUCAUUACUGUUCCUGGAGUCUGUCACGGGGAUGUGAAGCCACAAAAUGUUUUGGUGGGUAGGGCCUUUGGAUGGGAAUCAUCUUCGGUAUUUUGGUCCAGGUCUUGUUGUUCGUGGCCAUCACACUGCACACCAUCUGGCAAAAUAAGCAACCAUGUUGACAGCCUGGCAUCUCUUUGUUCCAUUCUAUUGACUUCAUGUGGAUGUAUGAAGCCCUUUGAGCACAAAUCUUUCUAUGGAAGGACCUUCAUGGGAUUUGGAGUGCUCAAUGGCAUCUCAAUUUGGCUUCUCAAUCAGAGUCUAUGUUUCAACUCUGUUGGUUUCUAUCAGGGCAAGUCGAGUGCAUUGGUUGGAUCUAGAUUCCUGAUAUUGCAUAGGACUCGUCAAAAGGUUAGCACUUAUUCUAUAAUGUGGGUCACAUAAAAAUCAAAAUUUUAAUUUCUGAAAUAAGACUGAACCAUGUAUAUAUUUUCGGAUAACAAUUUGCCUCUAAUAUCUAUGUACCUUAUUAUUCUGUCGCCGCUCUUCCGAUUUGCUCGGGUACCUUAUUAUUUCUCCCUAUUAUAGUGUUUUCUCAAAGUUGUAAUCCCAUACCGUAAUUAAUUCCUUAUAGUAUACUUGCUUUUGCUCCUGUCAUCAUAACGAACCUAUUUAACUCAUGACAUGUGUAAUGGUCAUUUAUACCCAUUUAAUCUCUUCUGGAGCUCUUCAUGAAUCUAUGCUCUAUUUGCUGAAGAGGGUUCAGUGCAGUGUCUUCAAAGGUCGGGAAAAAAAUGUUAUGAUGCAGAGGGGACAGCAUCUUGAAGGGAGCAAUGUUUUGAUACUUGCUUUAUAGGAAUUCUCUUUCUUUGCCUAGAACUUGUGAUUUAUGGCUGAUGUCUAUUCCAUCUUUGCAGGUGCUUCUCAAUUAUAGAUGGAAAACUUAACAUGGAGGCACAUAGCUUGCUGAUUUUGCUUCUAGAUUGGCCCUUGAGAGGGAGACCGACGCAAAGUUCAGCAGGUUUCAGUCAUCUUUAAAGGAGUUGUGGUUGGUUGCCAUUGUGGUGAAGUAAUUUCUUGCUGAAGCACCGGUCUAAAUUUAUCAUUGGUUUCGCUGGUGCUGCAUGUAAGUGGGAUUACUAAUUGUUCCAUUGGUUUUGCUCUGAUCAGAUGGGAUGAUGAUGCAGAGUGUUAAAAGGCCUAAUGGGUUAUCUCGUUGGUAGAUGAAGCUUGUUGGAUUGAUUUCAGGCCAUUGAAAACAGAUGACACCAUGCCUCCCCCAGUUAAUGAACAUGUGUCGCUUCCAAGUACAUACUGAAGGAUGUUCUGAGGCUAGCACCUGGUUUAGAAGUUUUGCAAUUCACAACAAUACCUCAUAAUUUUGAUUUGAUGUCGAGAAUGUCAAUUGAAGAAUGAGCCUAUGAACUGCAUUGUAUUUUGUGCUUGUGGCGGGUUUUUUUUUGCAAUUAUAAGUUUACGUUUAUGGGUAUUAUAGAGUCCUUUCUUUUUCUACAAGGGGCAGUAGCCGUGCCAUUCGAUUCGAAGGACAAAGAGUUGAUCACAAAGGGGUAGCACACAUGAUAUAUACACAAGAGUAUAGAACCAAAUUAUAUGAUGUAAUUGACCACUAUUUCUAUUAACUUCUCAUGUACAAAUGUUCACGAGUUCAUGUAUUAAGUACAUUUUAUUGUGUCA